AUUACAUUGGCAGAAUAGUGUAUUAAAUUUAGAAUUUAAUUAAGUAAUUUAAAAUUACAUGUAAUA
rnacentral:tRNA from 1 species